AUCAAGAGGUAGUUUAAUUAAAAUAUUAAUUUUGGGGAUUAAUGAUGAGGAAAUUUCUUUUCUCUUGA
rnacentral:tRNA from 1 species